rnacentral:rRNA from 1 species
GAUGAACGCUGGCGGCGUGCCUAAUACAUGCAAGUCGCGCGAACAGACGAGGAGCUUGCUCCACUGACGUUAGCGGCGGACGGGUGAGUAACACAUGGGUAACCAACCUAUCCGACUGGGAUAACUAAGGGGAAGAGGAGCUGAUAACGGAUAACAUGUUGCACUGCACGGUUCCCCAGUGAAAGGCGGUGUUGCUGUCACUUAUAGAUGGAUCCGCGCCGCAUUAGGUAGUUGGUAAGGUAACGGCUUAGCAAGGCCACGCUGCGUAGCUGACCUGAGAGGAGGGGCAGGCACACUGGAACUGAGACACGAUCCAGACUCCUACGGGAGGCAACAGUAGGGUAUCUUCCACUAUUGACGGAAGCCUGACGUGGAAACGCCGAGUGAGUUGAGAAAGUCUUCGGAUCGGAGUACUCUGUUACUAUUGUAGAGCGAAAAUGUAAGUAACUAUUCACGUCUUGACGGUACCUAAUCAAAAAGGCACGGCUAACUACGUG